UACUGGAACAUACUUGGUGUAUUCAAGGAGCAACAGGAAGGCCACUAGGGUUGGAGAGUCAAUGUAUAAAAAUUUAAUAAUAAAAAUACAUGUGUCAUAGUGAAAUAAGCCAGACAGAGAUUUCAAAUAGGGUUUGAGAAAGGAUGAGCCUUGGAAGAUAGAUUUGUGUUUGAAUCCCAGUUCUGUACCUUACUUGCUCUGUAGCCAUAAGACUGAGAUUUGACUUCUUCAAAUAUAAAAUAGGAAUUAUAACAUUUUGUAAUAAUAUUACUUUGAGGAUUGAAAUAGAAGAAUAUGCAUUUAUGUUCUGUAGAUUCAUUAUUAUGUGUCUGACAGUGGAUUUGUCUUUAUUUGUCUUUCUCAGGACUCAAUAUUCUCUGAAGACAUUUUUUUUCAAUUAAAUUCUCAUACAUUAGUUCUUUGAAUCAUGUCUCUUGCCUCUUCUUGCCAUUUUCUCAAUUUCGGUCAGGAUGGGCUAUGUUAUGCUGUCAAACAAACAACUCCAAUAUCUCUAUGGCUUAAAAAGCAGGGUUUAUUUCUCAUACCUGCCUCAUGUCCACUGGGUUAACUGGUGGUCUGUGUUCUGUGUGUCCUUACUCUGAGACCCACUUGAUAGAACAACCACGACCUGGGAUGCUGCUGGUUGCCUUGGCAGAAGAGGAAGAAAAAUAAUGUGAUGAACUGGGUAUUAAGUCUUAAGUCAGCCUCCCAGAAGAAUCAUGUAUUACUUCCAUUCACUUUGCACUGGCUAAAGUAAGUCAAAUGGCCACACCUAACUUCCAGGUGGUAGGAAAAUGCAGUUAUUAUGUGUGUCCAGGAGAAGAACAUAAAAUAUUUGGAAGUCAGCACUGACGACUACCACAUACAGAGUUCUCCUUCUGGAACCCUCCUAAAUGUACAUUGGAUUCUCUAAUUCUACUUUCCAUGUCUCUUAACUUAUCUUUCACAUUAUCCCUUUAUAUCUUUCUCAGCUGAAUUUCUUUACAUAAUUCAUGAAUUAUCUCUUCAGCCAUAUCUAGACAACUAUUCAACCCAGCCACUGAGUUUCAAUUUUUAAAAACUGCCUUUUUUAUACAAACAGCUCAUACAACUUGAUAACAAAAAAAUAAUCUAAUAAAAACAUGGGCAGAGGACCUAGACAUUUCUCCAAAGAAGACAUACAGAUGGCCAAGAGGCACAGGAAAAGAUGCUCAACAUCACUAAUUACUAGAGAAAUGCAAAUCAAAACUAUGAGGAGAUCAGAAUGGCCAUCAUCAAAAAGUCUACAAACAAUAAAUGCUGGAGAGGGUAUGGAGAAAAGGGAACCCUUCUACACUGUUGAUGAGAAUGUAAAUUGGUGCAGCCACUGUGGAAAACCGUAUAGUGGUUUCUGAAAAAACUAAUAGAGUUGUUCCAUGAUCUAGUAGUGCCACUCCUGGGCAUAUAUCUGGAAAAUAUGAAACUUUAACUUGAAAAGAUACAUGCACCCCAAUGUUUAUUGCAGCACUAUUUACAAUAGCCAAGACAUGGAAGCAACCUUAAAAUCCACCAACAGAUGAAUGGAUAAAGAAGUGGUAUAUGUAUACAAUAGAACACUACUCGGACCUAAAAAAGAAUGAAAUAAUGCCAUUUACAGCAACAUGGAUGGACCUAGAGAUUAUCAUACUAAGUAAAAUAAGUCAGACAGAGAAAGGCAAAUCCCAUAUGAUAGCACUUACAUGUGGAAUCUAAAGUAUGAUACAAAUGAAUUUAUUUAUAAAACAGAAACAGAUUCACAGAUUUUGAAAACAAACUUAUGGUUACCUAAAGGGGAACAAGGGUAGAGGGGGGAUAAAUUAGGAGUUUGGGAUUAGUAGAUACAAAAUAGUAUAUAUAAAAUAGAUAAACAACAAGGACCUACUUAUAGCACAGGGAAUUAUAUUCACUAUCCUGUAAUAAACCAUAAUGAAAAAGAAUAUACAUAUAUACAAUUAUGUAUAUACAUUAUAUAUAUAAUUGAAUCAAUUUGCUAUACACCAGAAACUAACCCAACAUUGUAAAUCAACUAUACUUCAAUAAAAAUUUUUAAACUGUUUAUUUCUAGAAUUUUUUCCAAUUCACCUGAUUUUUUAAAAUAUACUGUCCCUUUUUGCCUAAUGGAGUCUAUUCCUUCAUUUAUACUUGUAAGCAUUUUUAAGUUUCUUUCAGAUUGACCUAUUAUUUCAGUUCUAGGAGUACAAAUCCCUUAGUGAAUUAUAUCUGCUGACUUUCUAUUGCAUCAUCAUUCUGAUUUCAGACCCUUCUGCAUUUCUAGCGCCUGGAGAUCCUUCUUACUCAAUUUGAGCUUUGUAAUUUAUUUAAGGAAAAAAAUAGUUUAUUAUAUUUUAAGCAGUCUUUUCUAUGUGCAUGGGCUUGGAAAUAGGGCUCUUUUAAAUUACUUUCAUUAUCUGUAUGGACCAGAAUUUCCUAAACAUUUUAAAGUGAAUAGCCUUUAAAUGCAUGCGUCCAAUAAGAUGAUAGCUAAUAGGUUAUGAAGAGUCAAGAAAGAUCUUUUUUAAAGAGGGGAGACUGAGCAUAUACAUUUGCACAAAUAAAGAAACCAUGGACAGGAGAGAAGUUGCCACUAUGGAAAUGGAAAUGAUUUUGUAGAGACAAGACUAGAAUCAAGAAUGGAAGAUCUUAGGAUUUGGAGCACAGGUAGAGGGAUUAGCUUUGAACAAGAGUGACUUCACCUCUUCCGUAGAAACAGGAAAGCAGGAAAGAAAGAGUAUGGGUUUAAGUUGUUGGGGAGAGUCUGGAAAUUGAGGCCAGAUACCUCUAUUUUUCUCUGAGUUUGGAUGUAAGGUGAGCAACGGAGAUGGAAGCCAGGGGAGGGUUGAAGUUUGCAGUAUCAGCUGUGACGAAUAGGAGAGUGAGUCAAAUAUGCAUCCAUAAAGGCCAAGCUCAGGUUGGAAACCAUGCAUUCGUAAUGCCACCAACACAGUGGCUAGGUAGUAUAUUUAGGGCAGGGUGCCGCCCUAAACUGCCCACGUCUAGGAGUAGAGAACUAUGUGAUUGGGUUGGGAGAGGGUUAGAGUUUGCAAGGCAGUUGUAGAUAAAAGAUAAUGAGAUAAGUGUACAGAGGAUGGGAAGCUGAGUAGAUGAAAUGAUGAAGUAUAGAAGAUGAGCUGACCAUGACCUUAAACCCAUUCUUGAGUAGGAACACGAAGAUGGAACAAACUGGACCACGGCUCAUGGCAGCACCCCAGUGGCACAUUCAGACCUCUGGAAACGGCAGCAUCACUCAGGAUGCCAUGCUGCUGCCGUGAGCAGGUUUUCUUCCUGUCCCUUAGGUAACCAUUGCCCUGGCAUCGAGAUGACAAAUAUGUUCUGUUUUUGCUUUUGCUAAUCUUGAUCCAUAGAUUCAUUGUCUCCAUAAGUCUCUAAAUUCCCCGAGCAUGAGGUUGGUGUGGCCAGUAUUCACCCCACUGGGCAAAAUCCUUGUACCAGGCCAUUUCAUAGGCCUUUGACACUUGGAUCAGGUGUCCAGCCUUGGCCCAAUCAGCUGAGGCCAGGGUGAUGAGGCCAUAUGGCAGGCAUGUGCUUGAUCCAUAAGGGACCGUUCAAAAAGGUCUAAGACUUUCUACAAUUCUUUCCAGAAGGAAUAAAACUGCAGGCAGGACUGUUCUCAUAAACACUGGAAUAGCAUUUCUCCUCCUAGACUUUGUGAUAGAUCUCUAUCCAUUUCUCUCUUCUCUCUAAUUUGGGGAGCUGGACACAGUUCAAAAAAUUCCGUAUAUAGAGCACCUAAUUUUUAUUGUAGAAUCUUCCAAAGUGUGAUAAAAUGGUUUCCAUUUCAAGGUGGGAUUUUUUAUCACUUAAUACAAAGCACUCUGGCCGUGUCUACCCAUUUAUAUUACCUAGAGCAGGGCUCCACAAACCUUUUCUGUAAGGGAUCAGAUAGUAACUAUUUUAAGUUUUCUUUUUUUUUGGUCUUUUUGCCAUUUCUUGGGCCGUUCCCACGGCAUAUGGAAGUUCCCAGGCUAGGGGUCGAAUCAGAGCUGUAGCCGCCGGCCUACACCACAGCCACAGCAACGUGGGAUCCUUGAGCCACGUCUGCGACCUGCACCACAGCUCACGGCAACGCCGGAUCGUUAACCCACUGAGCAAGGCCAGGGGCUGAACCCGCAACCUCAUGGUUCCUAGUCGGAUUCAUUAACCACUGCGCCACGACAAGAACGCCCAUAUUUUAGGUUUUCUAUCACAACCAUUCAAUUCCCUCAUUGUAGGACUAAAGCAGUUGUAGACAAUAUGUAAAUCGAUGAGUAUGGCUGUGUUCCAGUAAAACUUUAUUUAUAAAGGCAGACAGCAGGCUGGACUAGGCCCAAGGCUGUAGUUGACCAAUUCCUGAUGUGGAGGAUAAUUAUUUAUGAUUUCUGCUGUUUGGCUGCGUAAGGGCUGAUCCUCACAAUAGCAGUGGGUUUUCUUGUAAAUGGCAUGGAGUUUCACUGUUCAAUUGACUUUCCUUAUAUAGAUAAAGUCAUACAAUAAUAAAUAAUUGAAGGUCACCACAUCACACAACUUGGGACUAUAUGCAGCAGCACUGGAAGUAUUGAGAGAGAUUUUUCUUCAGUUCCAGUGGGAGACCAGAUUAAGGCAAAGGAAUAGGUAGUGUGUUCAUUCAAUCAUCCAUUCAACAUAUUGGCUCAGACACUGUGGCUACUGCCAGAGAUGCAUAAAUAAAUCAAACAUGGUCCUUGUCCUCAAGGAACUUGUGGUUGAGUAAGGUGUUGCUAGAACUGCCAUAACAAGUACCACAAAGUGAGUGGCUUUUAAAAAAAAUGUAUUGGAGUUCCUGUUGUGGUGCAAUAGUGUCUCUGGAGCACAGAGGUACAGGUUCAAACCCAGGCCUUGCACAGUGGGUUAAGGAUCCAGCAUUGCUACAGCUGUGGCUUAGGUGGCCACUGUGGCUCAGAUCU
rnacentral:lncRNA from 1 species